UACGUAGGGUGCGAGCGUUAAUCGGAAUUACUGGGCGUAAAGCGUGCGUAGGUGGUUCGUUAAGUCUGAUGUGAAAGCCCUGGGCUCAACCUGGGAAUUGCAUUGGAUACUGGCGGGCUAGAGUGCGGUAGAGGAUGGCGGAAUUCCCGGUGUAGCAGUGAAAUGCGUAGAGAUCGGGAGGAACAUCCGUGGCGAAGGCGGCCAUCUGGACCAGCACUGACACUGAGGCACGAAAGCGUGGGGAGCAAACAGG
rnacentral:rRNA from 1 species